ensembl:misc_RNA Metazoa_SRP Metazoan signal recognition particle RNA
GCUGGGCAUGGUGGUGCAUGCCUGUAAUCCCAGCUACUCAGGAGGCUGAGGCAGGAGAAUCAUUUGAACCCAGGAGGUGGGGUUUGCAGUGAGGCGAGAUCGUGCCACUGCAAUCCAGCCUGGGUGACAGAGCAAGUUUCUGUCUCAA